rnacentral:rRNA from 1 species
CUGGUGCCAGCAGCCGCGGUAAUUCCAGCUCCAAUAGCGUAUAUUAAAAUUGUUGCAGUUAAAAAGCUCGUAGUUGAAUUUCUGCUGCAUUGCAUCUUCUUUUUGAUGAGUUGAUGUAUUGUGGCUUAUUUCGGAUGAUACUUGUAUUAUCCGGAUGAUUACUUUGAGAAAAUUAGAGUGCUCAAAGCAGGCUUUUGCCUUGAAUAGUUUAUCAUGGAAUAAUAAAGUAGGACUUUGGUUCUAUUUUGUUGGUUUUAGGUACCAAAGUAAUGGUUAAUAGGAACAGUUGGGGGCAUUCGUAUUUAACUGUCAGAGGUGAAAUUCUUAUAUUUGUUAAAGACGAACUACUGCGAAAGCAUUUGCCAAGGAUGUUUUCAUUAAUCAAGAACGAAAGUUAGGGGAUCGAAGACAAU